rnacentral:rRNA from 1 species
UACGUAGGGUGCGAGCGUUAAUCGGAAUUACUGGGCGUAAAGCGUGCGCAGGCGGUUUUGUAAGUCUGUCGUGAAAGCCCCGGGCUCAACCUGGGAAUUGCGAUGGAGACUGCAAGGCUUGAAUCUGGCAGAGGGGGUAGAAUUCCACGUGUAGCAGUGAAAUGCGUAGAGAUGUGGAGGAACACCGAUGGCGAAGGCAGCCCCCUGGGUCAAGAUUGACGCUCAUGCACGAAAGCGUGGGGAGCAAACAGG